UACGUAGGGGGCAAGCGUUGUCCGGAUUCAUUGGGCGUAAAGCGCGUGUAGGCGGCUUGUUAAGUCGGGUGUGAAAGCCCUCAGCUCAACUGAGGAAGUGCGCCCGAAACUGGCGAGCUUGAGUGUCGGAGAGGAUGGCGGAAUACCCCAAGUAGAGGUGAAAUUCGUAGAUAUGGGGUGGAACACCGGUGGCGAAGGCGGCCAUCUGGACGACAACUGACGCUGAGACGCGAAAGCGUGGGGAGCAAACAGG
rnacentral:rRNA from 1 species